AUUGAACGCUAGCGGCAUGCUUUACACAUGCAAGUCGAACGAGUGGCGGACGGGUGAGUAAUAUAUCGGAACGUGCCCAGUAGCGGGGGAUAACUACUCGAAAGGGUGGCUAAUACCGCAUACCAUCGGAGCGGCCGAUAUCGGAUUAGCUAGUUGGGGGGGUAAAGGCUCACCAAGGCAACGAGCCGUAGCUGGUUUGAGAGGACGACCAGCCACACUGGGACUGAGACACGGCCCAGACUCCUACGGGAGGCAGCAGUGGGGAAUAUUGGACAAUGGGGGAAACCCUGAUCCAGCCAUCCCGCGUGUAUGAGAAGGCCUUCGGGUUGUAAAGUACUUUUGGCAGAGAGGCGGUAUCUGCAGAAUAAGCACCGGCUAACUCCGUGCCAGCAGCCGCGGUAAUAC
rnacentral:rRNA from 1 species